CUCCCGUCCCUUCUGUCUUUAUGCAAUCCAGUUUAGACAAGGAAGAAAGUGGCACCCGUAAAGCGAACGACUUCGUUAAGCAUGGUGUGACUCAUAAUUGGUGCCUGCCGCUAUGUGGCCAGGAAAAUAGCCGCAUCGCUGCGUAAUGAGGAGCCCAGUGGGCCUGCCGUGAUGUGCCGGAACCGGGUGUGCCAGCUUGGCAACCCCCAAAAGGGAAAAAUGCAGCCAUCUGCCUCUCUUCCUGCAGAUCAGGUUUGCUCUCCUGCUGCCACCUCAGAAGUUGGGAUCCGGAAACCUCACUCCUGAUAGAACAGGCUAGGGAAUGGCAAAGGGGGAAAUGAUGGCUCAUUUGACAACUCCUGUGCAUGCCGGAACCGAGUGGGCUUGAGAAUCCUUUUUGCUUCUUUCCCAUGUCACUGUUUCUCAAUGAAAACUUUAAAUAAAAAAAACACUUGAUGAACUCA